CAGUGAAAUAUUGGAGGAUAUAUCACAUUGCAAUCGUAGCAUCAGUUUGUGGAGUUGUAGCUACUGGCAUCAUUGUGUUACUAACCUGCUGGAAGAAACUGCACUCCAAGUCCACCACAAACAAUUCUGAUGGCAUAAGCAUGAAGUCUGAAAAUAAAGAGAUUUCAUAUGUGUAUGAGAAUGUGGGGGCUGUUCAUCCUUGCACCAACGCUCCUAAAAUGACCUUCCCUCUGUAUGAGAAUGUAACAAUUUAUGAGAAUUGUACCGCUCACAGGAAUAUGCCGUAGUGGACGAUGGCACACACCAAAACAGUCUUCAUUUGACUGUGGGUGAAGCCCAAAUGUGACAAUGGAUACAAGUAGAAGUUAUCAUGAAAAUAUAUUGUUGCUUUAUUCAUU